rnacentral:tRNA from 1 species
GGGGUCAGAGCUGCGGUUGGAAGUAGCGCCUGCCUUGCAAGCAGGAGGUCAGGAGUUCGAUUCUCCUUGACUCCA